rnacentral:lncRNA from 1 species
CUCCACGUCAAUGCUCACACUACACGCCCCUCGAGGGCGUUAAGGAAAGCAGGGAGAGUGACAGGGCCCUUACCGCGGGACAUCAGCCUUGCUGGGGUGGGGGCGACACUGACUGCGUCCCUCAGAGGGAGAUGAGACCCUGCUUCCCGCCUCCUCCUCCACACCCCCACAACGGGGAAAUGCAAAGAGUACAGCAGCCGGUUAGGACCAAGCCAACGGGGAUUCUCACAGAAGGAGUGGGCUCUGGUGUGACUGCGACCCUAACAGACUCUAAAGAGGCCAACAAGUUUCUUUCUUCAGAAGGUGCGGCGAUGUCUGAGUGAGGUACUGCUGAGUCCAUCCCAGAUGUCAAAUAGCCACGACUUUCAUAUAAUUACACAUUGAAUACAGAAAACUCACUCUUUAAGGAUGAUUAUUUUGAUCGACA